rnacentral:rRNA from 1 species
CGGAUGCUGACGACCGGCGAACGGGUGAGUAACACGUAUGUAGUUUGCCCAUAACUUGGGAAUAGCCCAAAGAAAUUCGGAUUAAUACCCAAUAAUACAGGUGUACCGCAUGGUGUCCCUUGUUAAAGAUUAAUCGGUUAUGGAUAGGCAUGCGUUCUAUUAGGUAGUUGGUGAGGCAACGGCUCACCAAGCCAACGAUAGAUAGGGGAACUGAGAGGUUGUCCCCCCCACACUGGUACUGAGACACGGACCAGACUCCUACGGGAGGCAGCAGUGGAGGAAUAUUGGGUCAAUGGACGGAAGUCUGAACCAGCCAUCAAACAGGAUUAGAUACCCUGGUAGUCCACACAGUAAACGAUGAAUACUAACUGUUUGCGAUAUACAGCAAGUGGUCAAGCGAAAGCGUUAAGUAUUCCACCUGGGGAGUACGCCGGCAACGGUGAAACUCAAAGGAAUUGACGGGGGCCCGCACAAGCGGAGGAACAUGUGGUUUAAUUCGAUAAUACGCGAGGAACCUUACCCGGGCUCGAACGAUAUUUGAAUACAUCCGAAAAGAUGUAGCUAGCAAUAGCAAGUACCGAGGUGCUGCAUGGUUGUCGUCAGCUCGUGCCGUGAGGUGUCGACUUAAGUGUCAUAACGAGCGCAACCCUUACCAAUAGUUGCCAUCAGGUAAUGCUGGGGACUCUGUUGGGACUGCCACCGUAAGGUGUGAGGAAGGAGAGGAUGACGUCAAAUCAGCACGGCCCUUAUGUCCGGGGCGACACACGUGUUACAAUGGGGGAAACAAAGGGUCGCUACCUGGCAACAGGAUGCUAAUCUCAAAAAUCUCUCUCAGUUCGGAUUGGAGUCUGCAACUCGACUCCAUGAAGCUGGA